GUCACUCUAUCAUAGAAGGCCACCAGAUUGUUCAGAUCUUGCUUGUGUUUUAUUCAUAAGUAAUGAAAGAGCAAAGGAAGAACUUAAGAGACUAGAAAGAAAACGGCUGUCCCAUCAUGGUCUUAGAAGUUCAACUUUAGUCUUCUUUCGGUAACCUCACCUGACAAGACAGGACAAGGGUUUGCUAUCCAGCAAGAAGUUUGCAAACUGGAGCAGAUAAAAGCUACUAUCGAAUGCUUCAACACAUACAAGAAAUAAAUAAACCAAGGAAAAUGCAAUGAGAACUGGAAUCUGAUUUCUCCUCCAGGCAGUGUAAAUAGUAUCUAUAUGACAGCUACAGAAUGAAACAAGGAAUAUGAACUCCAGAGAAAACAGAAGUAGUCUAUGGAACACAAAAAGUUUUAAGAACUCCUUUUGCAUGCAAACCUCAUUCAGUGUUCAGGAUGGCUGUGGAGGUGAAUCAGGGUUGAAGAGUGAGCAGUCAAGGGAUCAGCAACUACGUUCAUUGAAGAAGCUGCUUUUUCAUUGUUCGCUAAAAAAAGAACAAUAUGACUUGUAGAUCCAACAGCAUCUUGAAUUAAAUUAGAAGAAUUCUGGAUACUCCAAGCCUCCAACAAAUCUGAUGCUAUACAGGACUCUAAGAGACAAUAACUAAUUUGGUACUUUCCAUUUUCCAGGUGCCUACCAUAAUAUAAUUAUCACAGACCUGUAGAAAUACUGAGCAUUAACACCUCCUUCCUGAGUUACAUUGAGCUGUAUGAUGACAUUUUAGAGUUCUUAACAGUGCUAAUUUAUCUGAAAAAAACAAGCCCUAGACUGUUCAAUGAGGCACUUUAAUUAAUGAAAAUAUUUGACCCUAAUUUAACCUUGUGAUAUGCAGACCAAUGAAUUUUUGCACUAGAAAUAAAAUUAUUCCCCUCCUUUUGUUGAAA